CAUCAUCAGCAUAUCUAUUUCAUCGAUUAGCAUUUGCUCAAAUAAGAUACAAGAGUCUCGUUUUAGGGGAAAACAAAGAACCUAGAGAAUUCCCAAAGUAUGGCAGUUUCUUUAACAAUAUCAUCAUACCUAGGAGAAUAAUGGAUUUGAUCAAUGAAUGGCUCUAGACGUUCACGCUCAGAAGCAGUUAAAAGACGUGGCACACCACUUUUCGACAUAUCUCCUCCUUAAUACUCAAAAA